ACCAACCCCACUCUACUCUCCCCUCCCCACCCAAAACAUUCCAGCCUUUCCUUUCCUACCACUUGAGGAGGGGGGGGGGGCUGUUUAUUGACAUUAUGCAAGCGCUGAAAUAUUUUCCUUUUUCUUCUCUCCCGUCCCCUUUUUUCUCCCCUUUCUCCCUCCUCUUUCCCUCCUCUCUCUCUCCGCCGGGGGGGGUUGCGAAGGUAGCUCAAACCCCUCCAAGUCACCUCGGCUUAUCAGCCCAAGGAGAUGCAUUCCUCUGGGCUGCUCCCUUUCUAAAUCACUGCUGGCCGGGAGCCCGCUGCCCGCCCCGCAGCCUCCGCACCGCCCCCGCCAUGCCCUAACCCCGGGACCCCUCUACGCCCGUCGGGGGAAAGGGGGGAGCGGUGGUGGUGGUGGUGGAGGAGGAGGAGGAGGAAGAGGAGGGGGGGGGACACCCCGCAGCAGCCCCGGAGAGGGCUGGCAGCGAUGGUACCCCCGUCCCCAUCUCUCCCCCGUCCCUGAAAGGGCGGCUGUUGCCGGGAUGUUCAGCUGGCACCGCAGCUUCACCCUGGGAGCGCCCUGGAAAAGAGGCAAGACGAGCCCACCUGCGGAGGACAAAGUCGUGCUCACACACAUGAAGAUACUGAGCGAUGAAGGAAUUCAAAACCCAGGGUUAAUCCCAGAGGCUCCAGCUGACCCAGCCUGCACCCAGGAGUCCCACCUCCCACCGGACCACCAGGAAAACCCAAAUGCAGCAGCGGAUCCAGACUACCCAGAUGGCCCAGCAAGCAUGGACUAUGUAGCCACCCUGCCUGACCUCAGCGCCUUCGAGUCCAAGUGCCGGCUCCACAGAUUCUCCAAAUUUGAAUCUGAGGACUCAGGGGUUGAGUUGCCCAGCGGGGCUAAUUCUCCAUCGACGCCGACGGGCUCGGAGAAGAGCUUUGUGCUUCACAGCAGAGACUCGUUUUGUGACUCGGGUGUGCUUAGCACCUCCUCUUCUCCAGAAAUCGACCACCUGAUCAUGAGAACAUGUGAAGAGCACGCCAGGAAAGUCAGCCACCAAGAUCCAGAGAGUGAAAAGCAAGCUGAGUACUACGGCCAGGAGGCAGAUGCUGUGCAGGGUGCUACAGCUCCCCUUGAAGACUUCAGUGUCCCUCAGGAAGGAAGUCCUGGUGAACAUUUUGACCAAAGUGAAAGGCAAUCACUGGAAAAGGAACCUACCCCAGAGACGGACCUUCCCAGGGAAAACACUCUUCCCACCCCAGCUCCCAUAGAAGAGCCAAAGACAAUUGAUGAUAAUUUCCCAGAGACCUUUGGCAGCAUGCAAGACCUUCAUCAGCUGAAGAAGUACCCCACCAGUGACAGUCUGGAUGAAUACAUGGAUGAAUGCUGUAGACUGAGUGAGGUGAACCAAGGUAACAGCAAAGUCCUGGGGUCUGGUCUGGGGUACCUGGAACACAUUUGCCAACUGAUUGAGAAGAUUGGGCAGCUGCAGGAGCACAACCUGCGUCUCCAGAAGCAAGUGUGCAGCUUGCAGAAAGAGCAGAAGAUGAGACAGAUCAAAGAGGAGUAUCUUCUCCAGCAUUGCCACUGUGGAGCUGCCAGCGUCUUCCUCAACUCGUACCAAGAUGUGAAGACGUUGUUUGCUGGGAGGAGCAGACCUCACAGCCUCUUGGUUCAGACUGGAAACGCUUCUGAUCUUUCCAUCAUCCCAGAAAUAGGAGCAAACACCGAAAAGCUGAGCAGCUGCAACGGAAGUGAGAGAUACCUGGAAUCGGGAAGCAGCCAGCCGAUGGCGGGGCUCAGGAAGUCAUCAAACAAUAGGAACAACAAGGAGAAUGAGUUCAGAGAAGCUGGUAGCAUGGCUGAGGGACAGGCUUUUCCGUCCAAGGACCCUGCAGUAAGAAAGGGCGUGGACGUCAGCAAGAACAUCUCGGGUGAGAGCCAUGCUUGGGGGAGAAUGAAAGAUCUGAUUUGGAGGACACGGCUGAGAAACCAGAACAAGCUAGGGCUGUACUCUGCUGCUCUGAAGAGGUCCUGCCCACAGUUGUACAGGCCAGAUAUUGUGUCUUCGGAGCUGAGGAAAACUGAGAGGAACUCCAUGAUCGUUCUGGGGCAAAAUACAAAGAAUGAAAACAUAUGGCCUUUCUGAUAACCCAAGUCAAAUGGAACAAGAAAGGCAAGAGUGGAAACACCAACGGACACAAAACCAAGGAUCCUGGGGUUACUUUGUGCAACCUGCAUCCUACGGUUGUCAAGGGAGUUAACUACGGUUUGGGCGUUGGAAGGGAAAGAGGGAAGGGGGAGGUUGAGAAGGGUCUGUGGACAGAUGCGUGCUCGGCUACGUACGGCUUCGCUCCUGAAACUGAAAAAUACUUCUAAAAGUCAAGCCACGGAUAAAAAACUACUGUUAGCAUCUUGGCAACACGGCCAACAGAGACUUUUAAGCAAGAUUUGGAAAUUCUUCCUCCUCCUCUCCGGAUUAGGAAAAGAAUUACCUGAAACACUGAAGCUUUUAAGUUAUCAUUGCUUUCUGGGGACCUUCUCCAACUGAAAUAAACUUCGCCUUUAUGGGACA
rnacentral:lncRNA from 1 species